rnacentral:RNase_P_RNA from 1 species
GAAGCUGGCUAGGCAGUCGCUGCCAUUUUUUCAAUAAUGAAAGACUGGGAGAGGAAAGUCCGGGCUCCAAAGAGCAGGAUGCCGGUUAAUGACCGGCCGCCGUGAGGUGAGGAAUAGGGCCACAGAGACGAGCGUAUUAAGUUGCGGUGAAACGCGGUAACCUCCAUCCGGAGCAAGACCAAAUAGGCAGAUUUUGACGUUGCUCGCCGAGUCUGCGGGUAGGUUGCUUGAGUGCAUGAGUAAUUGUGUGCCUAGAGGAAUGGCUGUCCAAGACAGAACCCGGCUUAUAGGCCAGCUUCAUUU